UCCCGCUUAGCUCAGUUGGUAGAGCGCGUCACUAGUACCGUGUGAACGGGCAAUGACGAGGUCAGUCGUUCGAGUCGGCUAGUGGGAA
rnacentral:tRNA from 1 species